rnacentral:rRNA from 1 species
AGUGAACGCUGGCGGCAGGCCUAAUACAUGCAAGUCGAACGGCAGCACAGCAGAGCUUGCUCUGUGGGUGGCGAGUGGCGGACGGGUGAGGAACACGUAGGAAUCUGCCUUGUAGUGGGGGAUAGCCCAGAGAAAUUUGGAGUAAUACCGCAUAUGCCCUGAGGGGGAAAGUGGGGGACCGAAAGGCCUCACGCUAUGAGAGGAGCCUGCGUCGGAUUAGCUAGUUGGUGGGGUAAGAGCCCACCAAGGCGACGAUCCGUAGCUGGUCUGAGAGGAUGAUCAGCCACACUGGGACUGAGACACGGCCCAGACUCCUACGGGAGGCAGCAGUGGGGAAUAUUGGACAAUGGGCGAAAGCCUGAUCCAGCCAUGCCGCGUGUGUG